UACGGAGGGUGCAAGCGUUAUCCGGAUUCACUGGGUUUAAAGGGUGCGUAGGUGGGUUGGUAAGUCAGUGGUGAAAUCUCCAGGCUUAACUUGGAAACUGCCAUUGAUACUAUCAAUCUUGAAUACCGUAGAGGUCAGCGGAAUAUGUCAUGUAGCGGUGAAAUGCUUAGAUAUGACAUAGAACACCAAUUGCGAAGGCAGCUGGCUACACGAAUAUUGACACUGAUGCACGAAAGCGUGGGGAUCAAACAGG
rnacentral:rRNA from 1 species